rnacentral:rRNA from 1 species
CUUUGACAAUGGAUCUCUUGGUUCUCGCAACGAUGAAGAACGCAG